CCUGGCUCAGAGUGAACGCUGGCGGCGUGCCUAACACAUGCAAGUCGAACGAUGAUGGAGAGCUUGCUCUCCUGAUUAGUGGCGCACGGGUGAGUAACGCAUAGGUAAUGUGCCCCUUAGUCUGGGAUAGCCACUGGAAACGGUGAUUAAUACUAGAUACUCCUUCUCAUUAUAAGAUGAGUCGGGAAAGUUUUUCGCUAAGGGAUCAGCCUAUGUCCUAUCAGGUAGUUGGUGAGGUAACGGCUCACCAAGCCAAUGACGGGUAUCUGGUUUGAGAGGAUGAUCAGACACACUGGAACUGAGACACGGUCCAGACUCCUACGGGAGGCAGCAGUGAGGAAUAUUGCACAAUGGAGGAAACUCUGAUGCAGCAACGCCGCGUGGAGGAUGACGCAUUUCGGUGUGUAAACUCCUUUUAAGAGGGAAGAUAAUGACGGUACCUCUUGAAUAAGCACCGGCUAACUCCGUG
rnacentral:rRNA from 1 species